AUGCUUGUUCACUUUGACUCUAUAUUUAUGCUAUGGUCACUUGGGGUUUAUGCAUAUGAGCUUCUCAGUUUUGUCUAUGAUAGACAGAGUAUAAUUUUGAUCGAUCUUUCCUAUGUAAACCACCGUACAUCAAUUCUGUUGCAUUCUUUGAUAGAUCUAUGUAUUUGGACUAGCUUCCUGGUUUCCCUUUUCUCAAUAAUCUCAACCUCCAUGACAGAUGUGGAGACCGAUCAUGAGCCUCUCCUUUCACAUUGGAUUGUGUUUCAACUAAAAAGCUUAGGGUUUACCUCUGUGCUUCACUUUUCACGCUUUAAAAGCCUUUUCCGAGCAAGACAGGCUUAG
rnacentral:rRNA from 1 species